CCAGACUCCUACGGGAGGCAGCAGUGAGGAAUAUUGGUCAAUGGCCGAGAGGCUGAACCAGCCAAGUCGCGUGAGGGAAGACGGCCCUACGGGUUGUAAACCUCUUUUGUCGGGGAGCAAAAGCCGGACGUGUCCGGCUGUGAGAGUACCCGAAGAAAAAGCAUCGGCUAACUCCGUGCCAGCAGCCGCGGUAAUACGGAGGAUGCGAGCGUUAUCCGGAUUUAUUGGGUUUAAAGGGUGCGUAGGCGGGCUGUUAAGUCAGCGGUCAAAUGUCGGGGCUCAACCCCGGCCUGCCGUUGAAACUGGGUGCCUUGAGUGGGCGAGAAGUACGCGGAAUGCGUGGUGUAGCAGUGAAAUGCAUAGAUAUCACGCAGAACUCCGAUUGCGAAGGCAGCGUACCGGCGCCCAACUGACGCUGAAGCACGAAGGCGUGGGUAUCGAACAGGAUUAGAUACCCGCGUA
rnacentral:rRNA from 1 species